rnacentral:rRNA from 1 species
AGCAGUGGGGAAUAUUGUCACAAUGGGCAAAAGCCUGAUGCAGUAACGCCCCGCGGGGGAUAAAGUACUACGCUUGUAAACAUCUUUCUCCAGGAGGAAGGGAAAGUGACGGUUCUUUCAGAAGAAAACCGGCUAAAUACGUUCCCGCCGCCGCGGUAAUAUAUUGGGGGCCAGCCUUGUCUUGAUUUAUUUGGCGGUAAAAGAGAUGGUAGGCGGUGUGUCCAUUUGGAUCGUGAAAACUCGGAGCUCAACUCCGGGCCUGCAUUCCAUACGGGCAGACUUGAGUUCGGUAGGGGAGACGGGAACUCCUCGUGUAGCGGUGGAAUGCGCUGAUAUCAGGAAGAACACCCAUGGGGGAGGCGGGUCUCUGGGCCGACACUGACCCUUAGGAGCGAAAACGUGGGGAGCGAAAAGGAUUUGAUACCCCCGUUUUCCCCCCCUAAACCGUNNNNUCANGUGUUGGNCUAUCUACCCCUUCGUGCCGCAGCUAACGCAUAAGUAUCCGCC